rnacentral:rRNA from 1 species
UACAGAGGUCUCAAGCGUUGUUCGGAUUCAUUGGGCGUAAAGGGUGCGUAGGCGGCGCGGUAAGUCGGGUGUGAAAUCUCGGAGCUUAACUCCGAAACUGCAUUCGAUACUGCCGUGCUUGAGUACUGGAGAGGAGACUGGAAUUUACGGUGUAGCGGUGAAAUGCGUAGAUAUCGUAAGGAAGACCAGUGGCGAAGGCGGGUCUCUGGACAGUUCCUGACGCUGAGGCACGAAGGUCAGGGGAGCAAACAGG